GCUCAUGUCAGAUGGGCCAUAU
rnacentral:siRNA from 1 species